UACUGAGGGGGCUAGCGUUGUUCGGAAUUACUGGGCGUAAAGCGCGCGUAGGCGGACCUGCAAGUCGGGGGUGAAAGCCCGAGGCUCAACCUCGGAACUGCCUUCGAUACUGCGGGUCUCGAGUCCGGGAGAGGUGAGUGGAAUUCCUAGUGUAGAGGUGAAAUUCGUAGAUAUUAGGAAGAACACCAGUGGCGAAGGCGGCUCACUGGCCCGGUACUGACGCUGAGGCGCGAAAGCGUGGGGAGCGAACAGG
rnacentral:rRNA from 1 species